CUGGGCUGCUGAAGCAGACAGAGCGAGCUGAACUUUAACCACUAGCCCAUCAGGGCUGGCUCCACUCACUUUCUUGGUAGUGUUCUUUGAUGUACAAAUUAUGAAAGUUUUGAUGAAGUCUAAUUUAUCUACUUUUUCUUUUGUUGCCUGUGCUUUUGGUGUCAUAGCAGAGGCACACCAGGGUGCUCAGUUGACUGGUACUGAGCCAUAGCUGGAUGAGGACCCUACAUAGCAGGAGAUCUGCAGCUCCCACAGUCUCCACUGAGAACUGGACAGGAGCCAGGAGCACACUCCUGGACUGGGCUCUGGAGUCAGACUCACCUGGUUUCCUGUUCUGGCUCAGUGACUUUAGGCAAGUUACUUCUGAGAUCCAGUUUCCCUAUCGGAAAAAUGAGGAAAAUCCUCUCUACCUCACAGGCGUGUGAGGAUUAGAUCAGAGUUUGUGUGUGUAAACUGCCAAGUACCUAAAGUGUGUCAAAUACUUAUUACAAACACCAUGCACACGCAUGCACACACACACACACACUCUUCCAUUGGGCCAGGAGCACAGGGCUGUUAAGAAUUAUGCAUAGAACUGGGAUGGUAGGACAAACUAAGCGCCCAUGAUCAAAGGUUUGAUUUCCAGGCAAACCCUGCACUGUCCCUCUUCCUCCCCGUGUGAUCUACAUAAGUUUCCUUUACUGUUGACACUACGUUAAUAUUGUCCCCAAGACAGGCAAAAUCUUUUAAGACACCAUAAGCAACAGUUUGGAUCUCUUUGUUAGGAAGCUUACGGGCUGAAUUGUGUGUCACCAAAAUUCAUACGUUGAAGCCUAACCCCCAGUACUUUAAAUUUGACUCUAUUUGGAGAGGUGAUUAAGUUAAAAUGAGGUCGUUAGGGUGAGUCCUGAUCCAAACUGACUGCUAUCCUUGUAAGAAGAGGACGGUUGGACACAGGGAGACAUCAGGGAUGUGCGUGCACAGAAGAUAGACCAUGUGAGCAUGCUUCAAGAAGGCGCCCAGCCAUCUACAAGCCAAGAAAAGAGGCUUCAGAAGAAAACAAGCCUCCUAACACCUUGAUCUUGGACUUCAAGCCUUCAGAACUGUGAGAAAACAAAUGUCUGUUGUUGAAGCCACUUAGUCUAUAGUACUUUGUUACGGCAACUCUAGCAAAGCAAUACAGAAACAAAUAUUUAUCAAGUGACUGUUAUAGACAAGCCAUUGUAAGAGCUAAGCAAAUUGGAAAGAUGAAAUAGGGUUUGUUUUUUUUUAAGAAGACUUAAGGGGCUGCCCUACCCCUCAGUGGUGAAAAGGCGCCCUGAGUUAAGUCCUACUUGGAGACACACUGAAAAUAGCCCAGAGACCAGCCAGUCACUUGGGAAACCUGAAAUCUAAAAGAAUAAAAAUAAUUUUUUCUGGUAACCGUUCUGAAAUAAUAGAUUUCUUAUUUUUGAGGUACGUGAUGUUGUAGCUUUGAAUACUGACACAAUUGAAGGUUACCAUUUACGUUAAUAGAAGUCUUUGGGAAAGUCUGCAUUUUAUGUGGCAGAAAUGUGCAUCUCACUAGUAUUGAAACCCACAUGAAGUAAUAGAAAUUGGUUGAAUCAUUUGCAUGCAGGCAGCUUGAAGAAAGUCUCAAAUGGACGGUAUUGCUGAGAAAUCAAAAUUGUAGCCCGCUGUCGAUUAGGACCUCAGAGAAGGAAAUGGAUUAAUAUAAAAGUGCUUUGAUAGUCACCAGUGGCGAGGAUAUUUUCACACAAACUCCAUUAAAUGAACGGUAGGAUUUUUUUACAUAAAAAUAGAAAAUGGAUUUUCUCUUCUAAAGGCUUGUUAAUCACUUGUCAUUAACAGUAUAUUUUUAAACAUAAACAAAAUAGUUUCUGUGCCUAUUUCAAAAAACAAGUAUUAAGUUAUUUUUCCACAAAUUGCUCUCAAGAGAGAGAAUCCUUGACUGAGUUAAAGAACAAAGGCGAGAACAAGAUUUAUAAGCGAGAGGAGAAAAGAAGGCAAGCAGUCUAGAAAAAGUAAAUCUUGUUUGCACUUUUUGGUGGCAAACUAGAUAGCUGGCGUUCCAUCAUUGAGUACACUGAGUAAAGGUAUCAAAACAAUUUUAUUUGUUUGAGGAUUCUCCAGAAAACCACGAGUCCUACCACCAGCACCUCCACCUUGCUGAAUCAGGUCCACACGAUUUCCCUCCUGAGGAAGUCUCACCUGGGAUUCUUUCAUAAGUCAAAUUAUUAUACAAAGUUCCGUAUGCAAUUUUAAGUUUAAUGAAAUUUCUAACACUUCUACAAAGAGAAAGAGAAAAGUAGCAAAAGAGUGUCAGAAAACAACCUAAUGCGUUUUAUAGGCAUAAAGGGGGAAUCCACAGAAGUAGAUUAUUCUAGCUGACAUGGAAAGUUAUAUUUAGGGGAAAGUUGGAAAGGGCUGGAAAGACAGGUUGAAGCCAGAUUGUGAAUGUUCCUGAACAAGUUCGAAAUUCAUUCCAUAGGCGUCAGAGAAAGGAAGAGACAUGGAUAAGCUCUGUUAGAAGAAUUGCUUUGCAAGUGGAGUAAGCGCAGGAUGAAUUGAAACGGAGAGACUGGAAGCGGAGACUAGUGAGGAGGUUAUGACAUUAACACAGGCCCAAGUGCUCAAAUCAGGUAGACUCAAGAGAUGUUACCCAAAACACCAUGGGAGUUAAUGGCAGUUAAGGAGGAAAUAGAGAAGAAACUAAGUUGACUAAGUCUUUAAUCUGAGUAACAAAAAGAAUGGUUAUCAGGCACUGGAAAUUGAGAGGGGAAUCUAAUUUUCCUGGAAAAAAGAGUUUUAGGAAUAUUGUAUUGAACAUAUAUAUUAAAUCUCACUGUCACCUACCCUCCCAAUUCCCUUACCCAACUCUAUUUUUUUCUUAUAGCAUUUAUCACUCUCUAAUACAAUUUACUUUGUUAUUAUAUUUAUUGACUAUUAUCUGUCUCCCUCUACCUGGAAAAGCUCCACAAGGGCAAGGAUUUGGGGAGUUUUGUUCAUUGAUGUGUCUCAAGCCUCUUGGCACAUAAUAAGUGCUCAAUAAAUAUACUUUAGCUGACUGCAUGGAUAGAUUGGGCGUCCAAGAAACAAUAUCUACCAUGCAGUUGAAAAGUGAUAACUAACACACAUUGAGAACUUGCUACAUGCAAGGCAUUGCUUGGUGCUUUAAAUACAGCAAAUUGCUUAUAGUUACCGAAGGAGAUAGAGAGCAUCAUCUCAUCACAGGUAAGGAAAGUAAGGCACAGAGUGGUAAAGAAAUAGCUUAAUCAGGAAAGGGGUAGAUCCAGGACUCGAGCCCAGGUAAACCAACUCUAGAGCCCACGCACCACAGUGCCUCUCAAUAUACGUUGCAACUCAUGGGGUGAAGAGGCGAAAUGGGAAGGAGCUGAAAUAGUUUGGGAAUCAGAUGCCGAGAGAUAGUUGAAACUCUGGAAGUAGACUUUGAGAAUAUUAAAAAAAAGACUAAUGAAUGAUGCUUAUCUUUCCCAGGGUUGCCCCAUUCUUUUCCUAACCAGCAUGCUAUUGCUGAUGUUGGUGGGCUGAUGAAUUUUUGUGGCACCUCUGCAGAUAUAUAUUAUUGCCUUUUAAUUAGGACAAAAUAAAUAACAGGUUAAAACCAAGCAUUUUCCAGAAGUGCUGUACUUGGGAAACCCAAUUCUAACAACAACAAAAAAUCUCUUAUUUUAUGAAAUUCACAGUUGAGCUCAUAUACACCAGGUUGAAAUAUUUUGAGUGUUGUGGAAAAAAAAAGAUGAUAUGUCUGCUAGUCCUAAAUAGCAGCCUCAGGAAGUCUAUCUGGUAGCAAAUGAUAGUCUGUUCAUUAGAAUAGAGCAGAAUACGGGGGUAUCUUGUGGGUCCCCAGUAGCUGAAUGCAAAUGCACUCAUGUUAUAUCAGUCUCAGUCCACAUUAUCACCUCUAGCUACUGAAAGCAAUAAAUCGUCAGAUGUAUACUUGGAGAGUUACAUCAAAAUCCUUUAAAGAGGUUGUUCUGAUAAUUACACUUUCGAGAGGUAAUGUUGGAAAACUGUUUCACUUGUUACAUUUUUUAGAGAGUUUAUCUGCUUUCCUACCAGCAAAUGGCCUUUUUAUUGUAACAGCUACAGCUUAUAGUUGAAUUUGCUGACUCCUAUACAUUAAAAUAUCUAAAUAAACUAAUGUAAAUUUUAUAAAAACAAAUAUCAAAUAUCCACAUCUGAUUUAAUUUGAAUACCCAGUGUGUCAAGCUAAUCGAAAAUACCACCCACUUCAAUUUCACAGCAUUUAGCACAGAAGAAAACUGGAACUAUGUGACCACUCUGGAAGGAAACAGAAUUCCUCAUUUCCUUGAUUCUAAUCUGUAUUUGCUACUGGAAAUAUGUCCGAUGCCCCACUAGGAAAAACCAGGAGAACAACAGUGGAAAUUGACCAGCUUGUGGGAGAUCUUCGUAUGUUUUAAAAGAUGAACGUUGACACCAACUUUCAAGAAAGCAAUCCAUUGUCCGUUGGGUGCCGUGCCGUCUCACUCUCAAGGAAAUUCCCGCUCUUGAUCCUCAAAUUCCACUGUGUGGUCCUCCUAUGUCUCAAUGAUCCCCUGGCUUCCUGAACAGAUGGCAUUGCCAUAAAACUUUGGAGGUAUAUCUUCAACAGGUUUACUUAGUGGAAGCAAGGUAAUUCUACUCUCCUCUAUUUUCCCCAGGAUGCCAAAUACAAACAUUAAGAGGACAGGCGUGGUGUCUAGCCUGGUGCCUAGAACAUAGUAGAUGUUUAAUAAAAAAAUUUGCAAAUUGACUGGUUACAUGCCUCUCUUUCUCCCUUUCUUAAUGUCAUAGCAGUUGAUAAAGUCACAUCCUAUACAUUCUGGUGAAGAUGGAAAGCACUAACAGUUUGGCACCUGCAACAUGUCCGUCAUCAGGCUGGAUGCCAUAUCUACAUUACCUCAUGUAAUUUUUACAGCAACCUUGUGAAAUAGGUAUUAUUCCAAUUUUACAGGUAAAGAAACUAAGGCCCAGAGAGAUCUGUCAUGAAAUAAAUACGCACACAUGAAAUUCUUCUUUCUCCUAGAAUAUCUAUUCUCUUCCUAUUUAUUGUUUGAUCAAAUCGCACCCAACUUUCAAGAACCAAAUUAAGACUGUUGGAAUAAUGUUCUUCAUGGGUCUCUUGUGUUUCUGUCCAUCUUCUGAUGAAAGGCAUUGACAGCUUUUGUGGUGGUCUAUUUUUCAAGGAUGUUUGUAUAGCAAACAGCCUUGGAACAUAGAGAUAGCAUCUCCCUCUGGGAAAGGACAGAUUUGUUUUCUGACCAGGAUAAUAAGGAUAAUGUCUCCCUCCAGGACAAAGGUUGGACAAGUUUGCUAGCAGCCCCUUUAGAGGAUUGGGGUUUCCUUAGCUCAGGGUUCCCCAGCUGUGAUGCAAACCCACAGAAUGUGCAGCAUUCCCCUGGGCUGCUCUUUAUCAGCCUUAUGGGACUUGGAGGACAAGGAGAAUCAAUGUGAACACAAAGCUCCUGCUGCCUGCUGUGCUGUGAGUAAUAUAGCCUCUUGCCUCUGACCCAGAAAUUUGUGUCCUCUGUCAGCAUCUAUGAAAAUGUAGCAGACUAACUUUUCAUCUUGCAAAUAGGAUAGAAUCUCAGACUUUUCACAGGUCUUCACAAAGACCUUCUUGCUUUGGGAAGCCAUAUCUAACCACUCCAGCUUACAGUGAUAUCUCUAAGACACAUUUGGCAGGGAACCCAAACUGCUGUGUAAUGUAUUUGUGAAGACUUUUCUUACCUCACACUUGAUUAUGCUGUCCUAGAGGACAGAGACCACCACUUAUACUUCAUCAGUUUUUAGCGUUUUUCAUGCACAUAGAAAUUGACUCUCAUUUCACUAAUUGUAAUUCAUUAAAAUGUAUUGAAUGUCUAUUAAGUGUAGGACAUUAUGGUCAGAAUAUUUAGGUAAUUAUUUCCCUAACUGGUGUGUAAGCUCCUUGAAGAUGGGCGUAAUAUUUAGUACUUCUUUUUUAUCCAUUAUAAUUCUUUAUGUCUCUCAUUCUUUCACUCAACAAGUAUUUAUUGAGAAUCUGCUAUGUGCAGGCGGUAGGUUAUUUGCUGAGUGUACAAAUGACUAAGAGAGACCCCCUGCCUUCAUGGAAGUAGGGAGCUCAUGGAAACUGAUACGUGUAGCACAAGGAGGAAGUCUAGUCACAGGAGAAAGUACGGAUCAUUACGGAAACGUGGAGAAGGGCCAUCCAACAGGGCUUUCAUUGUAUGAGGGUAGAAGCUGGCACUUCCGCUCUUGGUAUUGGCAGCAGCCUAUAGUGCUCAGUAGAUACUGAAAAAAAGUGUUGAUAGGUGGACUGAUAAUUCAAACUAGAAAACUUGGUCAUAUCCCUGCUCUGAAACAUAAAAUAGCCCAUCUAAGACUUGGCUGGUCUAUACUCAAAAUGAUUGUCAUCAGACUCCAGUUCUACAUAUUUAAAAAGAUAUAUGCAACAAGUAUGUUCAAGUAAAUGAACAUAUAUUCAACACCUGGAAGAGCAGUAAGGACUAGAAAGAAGCACAAGGCAUUCCUGUGCCCUUAAGAUCUUUACAAUCAAGUGAGACAAACCCGGAGAAACAUAAUCGAAAACAGGGAAUGAUAGCAUAAGCAUUGAAUAGAAACUGGAGUUACUGUUAAGCUCUGGGAGUUCAAUCUACUGGGGAGCAAGGGAGUUUCUUGUGACACAUGGCAUUUGAGCUGAUGUUUAAAGGGUGAAAAGGAUUUCCACAGGCAGAAAACAGAGAGCAAGGCAGCCCAGAAAAAGAGCUUGAGCAAAUGCACAUUUUAAAAAAGUACAUAAAAAACUGAUUAAUUAAUAAAAGGAAAGUUCAAAGAAUGAUUAGUAGAAAAGCAACUGAAAUAUAGGGCAUGCACAGGACUGUAGAGAGAACUGAGGAUCAGAAAGAAAGUUCCAUUCAGUGCCUUCUACAAAUAUUUAUUAAACAGCGGCUGGGGCAAAUAUAGCAUGCUUUUAAAAAGAGGCAAAAAUAUAGUCAUAGCUCACAACCUAAUAGAGAGAGAGAUAAUCUAAUCUAAAAUAGUAAAUGCCAACAAAGCACUAAGCAGGGAAGGUCUUGAAUGUCACCUUAAGGGGCUCAGACAUUAUUCCUUAGGUAGAAGAUGCAGUGAAUGAUGUCAUCUGACCUGCGAGGAGGAGGGUAAGUCUUGGCAGCUGGGUGAAGGAUGGACCAGAGGGGUGAGAGAUGGAGUCAGAGAGAGCAAUGUGGAAGCUUCUGUGAUCAUCCAGGGAGAAAUGGGAAGUGGCUAAACCAGAUAAAGAUGAAAAGAGGAGCAAAGAUAUAAGACAUGUUGUGAGGACAGAAUCCACAGAAUUUGAUGACUGAUUCGAUGACAAAAGUGGUUAUGAAGAUGAAUCUGAGCCUUCUAUUAUGGCUAAUAGAGAGAAUGAUGCUGGUAAUAAUAGUGAACAUUCAUCAAAUAAAAUAUCCUUAACUGGGAAGGUCUCAAAGUCUUUGCGUUAAUUAAGCAAUCUCUAUCAUACCUUUUUUCUUUAACUUUUAUUUUGUCAUAAUUUCAGACUUAGUAUCAAAUAUUUUUAAAGCAGGAAAGGUAAACACUUAGGACUUCUCAGGAAAUACUCUAACUUGUGUUUUUUAGCUUUAGGACCAUUAGUGGAUCAUAAAAUCAAUUUAAAAUGUCAUAAAAUAAUACCAAAAAAGUGAAAUAGAGUAAAGCAGAACAAAGUGUAAAAUAUCGUAGUGAUCAGUCAUAUACAGGUUAUUACUUUGUGGAACUUUGUCUUCUGUUUUAUGUACACACUGGGUCACAAUGUCAAGUACGUGUCUUAGUGUGAGUUGCAGUUUAAAAAGUUUGAAAGCCACUGAUUUAGACAGUGCCGGACAAGCCACCUCUCUAGUCUAAACCCUCCCCCUUCUCCAGUUUAUAGGGUUAAAGUAUUGACAGGAACAGAAAGGGAUGUAGGGCUUGAGACAUCUUUCAUUACUUUGACAAUGAACAGCAAUCCAAUUAUCUAAAACAAUGAAUGCUAUUAUCUUGUUCGGAGUCUAUGGCUUCUGUGAUUUUUAGAGAAGGGCUGAAGCUCAGGAUUAUCCACAUCUGGUCCACUUGCCAGUCAAAUCAGAAACAGGGAGAACAAACGCAUUAUUUUGUUUUCUUUUCUUGAGGUUUCAAAUAAGCCUUUGCUAAA